rnacentral:rRNA from 1 species
GACGAACGCUGGCGGCGUGCUUAACACAUGCAAGUCGAACGGCAACGCCCUGCUUUUGUGGGGUGCUCGAGUGCCGAACGGGUGAGUAACACGUGAGUAACCUGCCCUUGACUUUGGGAUAACUUCAGGAAACUGGGGCUACUACCGUAUAGGAGCUCCUGCUGCAUGGUAGGGGUUGGAAAGUUUCGGCGGUUGGGGAUGGACUCGCGGCUUAUCAGCUUGUUGGUGGGGUAGUGGCUUACCAAGGCGUUGACGGGUAGCCGGCCUGAGAGGGUGACCGGCCACAUUGGGACUGAGAUACGGCCCAGACUGCUACGGGAGGCAGCAGUGGGGAAUAGUGCACAAUGGGCGGAAGCCUGAUGCAGCAACGCCGCGUGCGGGAUGACGGCCUUCGGGUUGUAAACCGCUUUCGCCUGUGACGAAGCGUGAGUGACGGUAAUGGGUAAAGAAGCACCGGCUAACUACGUG